rnacentral:rRNA from 1 species
UACGGAGGGGACUAGCGUUGUUCGGAAUUACUGGGCGUAAAGCGCACGUAGGCGGAUUUGUAAGUCAGGGGUGAAAUCCCGGGGCUCAACCUCGGAACUGCCUUUGAUACUGCAAAUCUCGAGUCCGGAAGAGGUGAGUGGAAUUCCUAGUGUAGAGGUGAAAUUCGUAGAUAUUAGGAAGAACACCAGUGGCGAAGGCGGCUCACUGGACCGGUACUGACGCUGAUGCGCGAAAGCGUGGGGAGCAAACAGG